rnacentral:lncRNA from 1 species
CUGGCUUUGUGGCUUGGCCCUGACUUGCUGGCUGAGCUGGGGAACUCACUUGCUCUGUGUGGAUCUCUCCAUCUAUAAAAAUGGGAGUGUUGGAUGAAGGCCAUGCAAGUUCCUGCUAAAAUGUUAUCAUUACUUCUAUUGCAUAUGAAUGGUUUGGGUAGAAGGAGGGAGUGGUAAAUGGCCCCCGCCCAGCAGAGAUCUGGAUUGUUAACUACAGUGAGUUUACAUUCUAUGCACAGGUGGGGUGCAAGAAAGGGAAGAGCACCACGUGUGUGGAUAAUCAGCAAAAUAUUAACUCCACAGUAUCAGCGAGGGUAAAUGUGGUGAACAGCAAGGCAAGGAAACAGAACACUGACAGCAAGAGACUCUUGGCCACUGGUGCUUCUUGUGUUGCUUCAGCAAAUACAGUCCAGGGUGUGCCAUAGAGGCGUGGAGGACUCGGGGAGCAGAAGGGCCUCUGAAGGAGCUAAUGGAGACAGGAAGUGACUCCCUAGUGAGUCACAAAUAAGAGAGGGGAAAGAAGAGAUUCCAGUAGCUGUCAGGCAGGUCUGGAUUGGAAUCCUGAUUGUAAUCAUCUAUCAGUGGUGUGGCCUUAAGUCCUGCCACCUCCCUGACCCUCAACCUCGUCAUCUGUAAAAGCGAAAUGAGAAGCAGCUUCAUCGUGUGAGGUGAGAUGGAAUGAGGCCUCGAGAGGGUUCACCACAGACUGGUCUGAGGAUGAAGGCCCAGCCUGUGAUCAGGACCCGGCCGGCUGCUAUUCGCUGAGCACCGACCAAGUGGCACAAAAUCGCACUUUCCCCCUGCCUCAAACAAGCCCGAGGGCGGGGGGCUCCUGGGACCCCAUUCCAGGCACAGGCGAGUUGAGAAACUGGUCCAGGUCCGCGAAGACAGAGCCGGGUUACACCUGCUGGGAGCUUACAGUGAGCCGGUGCCUGGGGAAAGAGGGAAGUGUUUAGGAGUAUAUGCAUCUCGUACUGUGUGCAACUGUCUUGGAUGCAAAUAAGAACGCUGUAUUCUAUUACCACAAACAAUGACUUCAAAUCUGGU